rnacentral:rRNA from 1 species
UACGUAGGGUGCAAGCGUUGUCCGGAAUUAUUGGGCGUAAAGAGCUCGUAGGCGGUCUGUUGCGUCGGCUGUGAAAACCCGGGGCUCAACUCCGGGCCUGCAGCCGAUACGGGCAGACUAGAGUGUGGUAGGGGAGAUCGGAAUUCCUGGUGUAGCGGUGAAAUGCGCAGAUAUCAGGAGGAACACCGGUGGCGAAGGCGGAUCUCUGGGCCAUUACUGACGCUGAGGAGCGAAAGCGUGGGGAGCGAACAGG